CGAAGGUAGCAUAAUCAGUAGUUUUUUAAUUGGAAACUUGUAUGAAUGGUUAAUUGAAAUAUAAACUGUCUCAUAAUAAAAUAUUGAAAUUCACUUUUUAAUGAAAAGGUUAAAAUAUAUUUAAAAGACGAGAAGACCCUAUAGAGUUUUAUAAUUUUAAUAAUUUAAUUUAAUUAUUUAAUUUAAGUUAAAGUAAAAAAAUUAUUUUGUUGGGGUGAUAAUUAAAUUAAAAGAACUUUAUUUUUUAUUUACAAAAAUAUUUGAAUAAUUGAUCCAGUAUUAUUGAUUAAAAGAAUAAAUUACCUUAGGGAUAACAGCAUAAUUUUUUUUGAAAGUUCGUAUUAAUAAAAAAGAUUAUGACCUCGAUGUUGGAUUAA
rnacentral:rRNA from 1 species